UACGAAGGGGGCUAGCGUUACUCGGAAUUACUGGGCGUAAAGCGUGCGUAGGUGGUUUGUUAAGUCUGAUGUGAAAGCCCUGGGCUCAACCUGGGAACGGCAUUGGAAACUGGCUUACUAGAGUGCGGUAGAGGGGUGUGGAAUUCCCGGUGUAGCAGUGAAAUGCGUAGAUAUCGGGAGGAACAUCUGUGGCGAAGGCGACACCCUGGACCAGCACUGACACUGAGGCACGAAAGCGUGGGGAGCAAACAGG
rnacentral:rRNA from 1 species